rnacentral:tRNA from 1 species
AGCAGUGUGGUCUGGUGGAUAGGGCAUUGGUCUGGGAGCCAGAAAGACCUGGGUUCUAAUCCCGGCUCUGCCA